rnacentral:rRNA from 1 species
UGAGGAAUAUUGGACAAUGGGCGCAAGCCUGAUCCAGCAAUGCCGCGUGCAGGAUGAAGGCCUUCGGGUUGUAAACUGCUUUUGUACGGAGCGAAAAGGUCUGCCCUAAUACGGUGGGCUCAUGACGGUACCGUAAGAAUAAGCACCGGCUAACUACGUGCCAGCAGCCGCGGUAAUACGUAGGGUGCGAGCGUUAAUCGGAAUUACUGGGCGUAAAGCGUGCGCAGGCGGUUAUAUAAGACAGAUGUGAAAUCCCCGGGCUCAACCUGGGACCUGCAUUUGUGACUGCAUAGCUAGAGUACGGUAGAGGAGGAUGGAAUUCCGCGUGUAGCAGUGAAAUGCGUAGAUAUGCGGAGGAACACCGAUGGCGAAGGCAAUCCCCUGGACCUGUACUGACGCUCAUACGCGAAAGCGUGGGGAGCAAACA